GACAGAGGAUGCAAGCGUUAUCCGGAAUGAUUGGGCGUAAAGCGUCUGUAGGUGGCUUUUUAAGUCCGCCGUCAAAUCCCAGGGCUCAACCCUGGACAGGCGGUGGAAACUACCAAGCUGGAGUACGGUAGGGGCAGAGGGAAUUUCCGGUGGAGCGGUGAAAUUCGUAGAUAUCGGGAGGAACACCAGUGGCGAAGGCGGCUCUCUGGACAGGUACUGACGCUGAGACGCGAAAGCGUGGGUAGCAAACAGG
rnacentral:rRNA from 1 species